GGCAGCGGGGGCUUCGGCCUGCCGGCGAGUGGCGAACGGGUGAGUAAUGCAUCGGAACGUGCCCAGUCAUGGGGGAUAACUACGCGAAAGCGUAGCUAAUACCGCAUACGCCCUGAGGGGGAAAGCGGGGGAUCGCAAGACCUCGCGUGAUUGGAGCGGCCGAUGUCGGAUUAGCUAGCUGGUGGGGUAAAGGCCUACCAAGGCGACGAUCCGUAGCGGGUCUGAGAGGAUGAUCCGCCACACUGGGACUGAGACACGGCCCAGACUCCUACGGGAGGCAGCAGUGGGGAAUUUUGGACAAUGGGGGCAACCCUGAUCCAGCCAUGCCGCGUGAGUGAAGAAGGCCUUCGGGUUGUAAAGCUCUUUCAGACGGAAAGAAAUCGCCUCUCCUAAUACGGGAGGUGGAUGACGGUACUGUCAGAAGAAGCACCGGCUAACUACGUGCCAGCAGCCGCGGUAAUACGUAGGGUGCGAGCGUUAAUCGGAAUUACUGGGCGUAAAGCGUGCGCAGGCGGUUGUGUAAGACAGGUGUGAAAUCCCCGGGCUUAACCUGGGAACUGCGCUUGUGACUGCACGGCUAGAGUACGGCAG
rnacentral:rRNA from 1 species